rnacentral:lncRNA from 1 species
UACCGUUUGGGAUAUUUUCUAAUUGCUGGUGACAUACCUAUAGUGUGUAUAUAAAUCCUAUUUUCUACUUUGCUCAGUCGGCCAAAGAUACCUAAUGAGUACAAUUGUGUCGUACUUAUCCCAAUUAUGCCCAUUUUGUGUAUAUCCAGGUACUAGUGUGUCUCAUGAUAGUUGAGUUUGGGUGGUAAUUGAACACUUUUGAGGUAGUGGCUGCUCUAUGAUUCUAUAUUUGACCCCCCAC